UAAAAUCAGAGCUUUGAGUUUUCUGAGCCACUGAUUACUCUGUAAUCACCUGUGGCCAGAAGAGGGCGAUGGUUCAUUAAAAAUGACACCAUGAGACAAUACAAGGUGGCUUUUGCAGCAGUAGACUGGACAGUUGUUAGAAUUUGAUCAUGUAGUGGAACAACAGAGACAGAUGUCAACAAAAACAAUGCUUGGGUUUAUAUGUUUUAUAUAUUUUGAAUGUGUUUGUGGUUAAUAUGUUAUGGAGGAACUGUCCCACUCAAGUCUUCUCUCUUGCUUCCUCUCCUUUCCCUCACCGCCUUCCUCUUCAUCACUGUUGUUUGACACGGUACUUGAAAUUUCUCCC